CCAUCUUGGACCGGUCAUCCUACGAGUUGCCUAGCAGCAGAAUACACGACUGAGAAAGAUGCCAGAACACUGUUCAGCAUCUUCCUGCUCCAAUCGACGGACUGUCGAAAACAGGGCUCGGGGGAUUACUUUUCACAAUUAUUUAAAACAGUUAUAGAGCGGAAGCUGUCCUGUGACGUGUGCCGUGCGAGCCUCGUCAGAGAUGCUGCUGUGCCAUCAUCACGUGACGAGAGCUGCCCACCCGCCACCUUGUGGCCCUGCAACACAACGGCGGGCGGCGGCCUAGUGACCCAUCACAAGGCACAGGGAAGAAGGUGCUGAGAGCUGCAGAGAGGGUGAUUGGCCAAGCUGCAGCACAGCAAACUCCAAAGCGGUCUACAAUCACCCACAUCGUCCGUGAGGAGACUGGCACGGAGGAGG